UACGUAGGGUGCAAGCGUUGUCCGGAUUUAUUGGGCGUAAAGAGCUCGUAGGCGGCUUGUUGCGUCGACUGUGAAAACCCGCGGCUUAACCGCGGGGUUGCAGUUGAUACGGGCAGGCUAGAGUUCGGUAGGGGAGACUGGAAUUCCUGGUGUAGCGGUGAAAUGCGCAGAUAUCAGGAGGAACACCAAUAGCGAAGGCAGCUCGCUGGGACGUUACUGACACUGAGGCGCGAAAGCGUGGGGAGCGAACAGG
rnacentral:rRNA from 1 species